UGUGGGCACGUAAUCACUGCUGACCUUCACCAACAGAAGCUGACAAAACACAUUUCGACGAUGAUUAUGCAUUAAUUCAGAACAUUGUGUGGAGUAAACAAUUGACAAAAUGCGUUUUCGUUUUCAAAUGUAUUACGUAGCUUGUGUAUGUGUAUCAGAGUUCGUUUGUAUUCGGAUUUUGUCGUUUUUUAUCAUAUUGAAAUCUUAUCGUGUCUUAUCUUAUCACAAACAAUUGUUUUCCCACAUAAAACAAAUUACUUCCCUAUGUGAUAAAACAGCGAGCGCCGUAGAGAUAAAAUAAAUAAAAAAGCAUUUUGUUGCGACUCAGUUUCAG